GUGCACGCCAUCGGUGCAAAACAGCGUCGUUUCACUUCAAGAUUGCCUUCCUUUAGUAAGGGAUUGGAAUUGCAGCAUAUAUCUUCAUGGAUUUGAUCCUACUGGAGAGGUCUACAGAAGUAAAG